GAUGAACGCUGGCGGCGUGCCUAAUACAUGCAAGUCGAGCGAACAGACGAGGAGCUUGCUCCUCUGACGUUAGCGGCGGACGGGUGAGUACCACGUGGAUACCCUACCUAUAAGACUGGGAUAACUUCGGGAACCCGGAGCUAAUACCGGAUAAUAUAUUGAACCGCAGGGUUCAUUAGUGAAAGCCGGUUUUGCUGUCACUUAUAGAUGGAUCCGCGCCGCAUUAGCUAGUUGGUAAGGUAACGGCUUACCAAGGCAACGAUGCGUAGCCGACCUGAGAGGGUGAUCGGCCACACUGGAACUGAGACACGGUCCAGACUCCUACGGGAGGCAGCAGUAGGGAAUCUUCCGCAAUGGGCGAAAGCCUGACGGAGCAACGCCGCGUGAGUGAUGAAGGUCUUCGGAUCGUAAAACUCUGUUAUUAGGGAAGAACAAAUGUGUAAGUAACUAUGCACGUCUUGACGGUACCUAAUCAGAAAGCCACGGCUAACUACGUG
rnacentral:rRNA from 1 species